GACUAACGUACUUUAAUGGAGAGUAGCUUUUUAGUUACAGAUCCGAUUUGAGUCUAACAUGCACUCACACAUUCGUGGCGAUGAGUACUAUUUUAGUACGAAACCAGGAAAAUGAAACUAAAAGCCAAAAACCACGUCCACAUCAGAUUGCACUUUUGUCCAAAAAAGGUAUGAUAGUCAAAUUACACCAACAAAAACAAAAUUACAGUGAAAAGUAGGGACAGGUCGUCGCAAUGAGAUUCAGUCUUACGCAUAGUUCUCAUAUGUUGUCCAACGCUUUACAACAUGAGGUUUUUAAGCUGAUUCUUUUUGGUUGAUAAAUGUUUUUCUUUUGGUGGCAUCUUCAUUAAAAACAAAUGAUAAUGAGUAUAAUUUUUAAUCAAAUAAUAUCAAGUCAUAUAAAUGACAAACUAGAUACAAAAGGCAGAUGCAGCAUCACUUAGCACACAAGGUAGAUUCAGCAUUAUCUAGCACACAAGCUAGAUGCAGCAUCACUUAGCAAACUAGGUAGAUGCAAAAUUAGUUGUUAACGCACAAGGUAAAUGCAUAAUUGUUUUUAACACACAAGGUAGAUGCAGAUUCCUCUUCUUUUUUUUUUUUUUCUUUUAUAACACAACAUAUUUAUGUGCAAAAUUAAUUUACAAACAAAAAGUAGUACCAUAAUUAAUUUACAAACAACAGGCAGGUGUAUCAUCAGUUCACAUAUGAAGUGCAGCAUCAGUACAAAAUGCAAUAUCAGUUACAAAGUGCAUCAUCAAGCUAGACGGUUAAUGCUUUACUCACAAAAUUUAGACACAUAAUCAUUUUUUUUCUUUAGAUGUUGUUGAAGAAUAAAUAUACAUAUAAACUUAAAAAAAAUGAAAUUGAACAUCUAAAACAUUGAAAUUAUUUUUUCUUGUACUGGAACACUAAAAUUUUUGUAAAAUCAAGUGCAAAAACAAUUGAUAAUGCAUGCAUCCGUUUUUUACAGUUUUCGAAAGUGUCUUUUGUAAAAACACAUGAUAAUACAUCCUAAACUUUAAUAAUGCAUUCAUUUUUGUCAGAAUUCAAAAGAUAAUCAUGCAAAAGAACGAUUUGAAGUAGUAGAAAAUACCUUUGAAACACUGAUCUUCUGAAAAUGCGGCUGAACCUAUGUAUCACUUACUGAAAAUCUAGCUUGAAAGUAUCGAAAUCUAUGAAGAUUUUAGGGUUUUUUAUGGGGAAGUUUUUUUGCAUGAGAGAGUUUUUGAAAUGAUUGUUUUGGGGAAGAUGAAAGAAAGAAAGAAAAAACCGUCAGUUCGCAAUAUUCAAUAGGGCAUACGGUUUGUUUUUAAGAUUUUUUGUAGUGUAGUGGUUAACGUGGCCGUUUAUUAACGGUUAUAGGUGAGGGGCAUGGUUGUAAUUUACUCGGUCCGUUUCUUUUUGGGUUGGACUUGGUUUUGUGUUGUUUGGGUUUUUUGUCCCUCCAUGAAAUGUUUUAAAAUGUGUGGAGUUGUGUGAAAUAUGGUUUAUAUUUGUGUCUCUAUAAGUAAGGCUCUCAAUAUUAUGAAAGUAAAAGGACUAAUAUAUUUUUUGAGACAAAAAAGAUAAAAUGGUUAAAUUGUAUAGGAUAGAGACAGACAAGAUUUCUUCUAAUGUUUGGUGCAAAUAUAAUAUUUGUAAGCACAAUAGUAGACUCACUAUUGUAUAUCUACAAUCUCCUUGACCCAAAACAUGCAUAAGUAUAGUUGCCCAUGUGAAGGCGAUGUUCUCUAGUGCUUUCUUCUUGAAGUUGAUGAAGCAACUUUUGUCCUGUCAUACGUGUUAGGUUGCUCUGAAACUAUCCAACAUUAUCCUUAGUAUUCAGCAAUGAGUGCUUCGAAGACAGUCAAAAUCAAUUCUUUAGGAUUUUUAUUGUUCUUGUGUUGUUUGAGGCACUUGUACCUAUAAUGACCAGUAUCUUCAUAGUUGAAACAUGCACUGAAGGGAAAAUUAUGAGAUUUCUAGAAUGGGAUUUCAUAAUGACUAUCAUGCAUAUUCAAAUCAAAUUUAAUAUACGAAAG
rnacentral:lncRNA from 1 species